UUGAGCUACCAGUUAACCUUCUGGAUUCCAAAAUACCCGUGGUGUAAUUUGCAAGAAUACCUGUAACCAGAGGACCCAGCAUUCACUAGAGAAGAUUUACAUGCCAACAAGACUCUGAAGCCCCAAAUGAGAUCCACCUUGGAGAUACAAUGAAGAUUUGGGGAUCACCAGCCUGAGUCCGAUAAAGGUCAACUGCUGAUUUCAAGCAAUUAAGAGGGAAAUGGGAGAAGGAAGAGAGAAAAGUUUGAAGUGCAUGAAGGAGGUUUAAAGUGGCUACUGCAAAGAAUUGGAGACACCACUGAUCAACACUGAGGGCCCAGCAGUUUCUCCAACUCCAUCCUUUUCAGCAGGAAGAAGGAAGGAUCAGAAGACCAUACACCAUUGAUACUUAAAUCCAUUGACCAUAGAGCAUGGAAUGUCUGUUUGCAAGGAAUGCUGUCAAAUAGUCAUUUUUAU